GCUGUUAAGGGUUCGUAGUUGAAUUGUGGGUUUGUCGGAUGUUGAUCCUGUCCUCUUCGCACGAAGCAGGGCACUCACGCCGCAAUCCCGUGAACAUCAGAAACAAGUACCACGGGAACGCUUUCCUCGGUUCGCGGACAAUGCCCGCAGAGGAACGCCCGUGUUCAUUACUGUGACUAAAAAGUGCGACCAAAGCAGUCCAACGACAUGAAUUAGAAAGCAUGGGAUAGCAAAGGGCAUCCUACAGACUACCGUUUAGGCUUUCGUUGGUUUUAAAGGUCAGUGGGAGAUUACGGGUGGGUGGACCGGCGUCGGCGAGUUCAUACUCCCGCGCUUCCCCCUCAUGUCGGCUUGCCGGUGUGGGUGGGGCCUGCCUUUCUCGGAAUGAAAGAGGGUUGCUCGGGGAAGAACGUCAUGAGCGUGAGAGGUGAAAUUCUUAGACCGCUCAAAGACGAACUACAGCGAAGGCAUUCUUCAGGAUACCUUCAUCAAUCAAGAACCAAAGUG
rnacentral:rRNA from 1 species